rnacentral:pre_miRNA from 15 species
AUAUAUAUAUACAUACAUACAUAUGUGUGUGUAUGUAGAUAUACACACACAUGUAUGUAUGUAUAUAUAUACA